UGACAUGCAGUAGCAUGUCCUCACACGCAGUCACUCUUUGUGCCAUUAUGGAGGCAUUUUAAUGAUGAGCUAGAAAACAUAACGUCCGUCCAGAGUUCAACAUUUGGAGUUAAUGCCAACCGUCUCAGGGAAGCCUGGGCCAGUGGACUGGGUUCUUCAAUCUCAGAUGAGCUUUAGGAGGACGAGGGCCUCUCCAAUGUUCAGGGAUGCUCCAUCAAUUCCAGGUAAUGGCUGAUUCAGUCUAAGGUUCUACGUAGACUUCAUUGCCCUAAGACAAAACUCGGCACUGUCUCCCUCUUAGGUGAUAAACGUGGUAGUGCAGAAGUAUCACUCUCACCUGUUCUGGUCCUGUUCAACCCUAGACAAUUUCUGCAGGGCCAUUUUUGAUUGUUUUUUUUUAACAUUUUGGUAGGGACAUCCAACUAAACUGCGCCCUGGCCAUCUUUGGCUGCUCUGAUAGGUUACUUGCAUCUCACCAAAGGAAACACGGGGAUAGGGACGAUUGCUACAUAGAGAUUAAUCUUACAAGAAUGGAAAUCCCCAUCACCUCCUUGUUCCAAAAAGAUCCAUUGCUGCAAAGGGAAGUCUCUCAGCAGUUCUAUGGGCAUCUGGAAACCUCUCCUGGACUUGCUCGAUGGGCCAUAAUCUGGAGAAUUGCUUCCUGCCACUGUAUGCUUGAUGUCUGCUUAUCAAGCUGAUGAUCACCUCCAAGAAAAAUGAAGCCAACAAUGGAGUGCCCAAAGCUGCACUUCCUCCUGUGGCCACUCAAAUGGUAAAUGGA